GAUGAACGCUGGCGGCGUGCCUAAUACAUGCAAGUCGAGCGAACGGACGAGAAGCUUGCUUCUCUGAUGUUAGCGGCGGACGGGUGAGUAACACGUGGAUAACCUACCUAUAAGACUGGGAUAACUUCGGGAAACCGGAGCUAAUACCGGAUAAUAUUUUGAACCGCAUGGUUCAAAAGUGAAAGACGGUCUUGCUGUCACUUAUAGAUGGAUCCGCGCUGCAUUAGCUAGUUGGUAAGGUAACGGCUUACCAAGGCAACGAUGCAUAGCCGACCUGAGAGGGUGAUCGGCCACACUGGAACCGAGACACGGUCCAGACUCCUACGGGAGGCGGCAGUAGGGAAUCUUCCGCAAUGGGCGAAAGCCUGACGGAGCAACGCCGCGUGAGUGAUGAAGGUCUUCGGAUCGUAAAACUCUGUUAUUAGGGAAGAACAUAUGUGUAAGUAACUGUGCACAUCUUGACGGUACCUAAUCAGAAAGCCACGGCUAACUACGUG
rnacentral:rRNA from 1 species